GAUGAACGCUGGCGGCGUGCUUAACACAUGCAAGUCGAACGAAACACCUUAUUUGAUUUUCUUCGGAACUGAAGAUUUGGUGAUUGAGUGGCGGACGGGUGAGUAACGCGUGGGUAACCUGCCCUGUACAGGGGGAUAACAGUCAGAAAUGACUGCUAAUACCGCAUAAGACCACAGCACCGCAUGGUGCAGGGGUAAAAACUCCGGUGGUACAGGAUGGACCCGCGUCUGAUUAGCUGGUUGGUGAGGUAACGGCUCACCAAGGCGACGAUCAGUAGCCGGCUUGAGAGAGUGAACGGCCACAUUGGGACUGAGACACGGCCCAAACUCCUACGGGAGGCAGCAGUGGGGAAUAUUGCACAAUGGGGGAAACCCUGAUGCGGCGACGCCGCGUGAGUGAAGAAGUAUCUCGGUAUGUAAAGCUCUAUCAGCAGGGAAGAAAAUGACGGUACCUG
rnacentral:rRNA from 1 species